AUCGCUUUUCAGCCUUUUGGCUAAGAUCAAGUAUAGUAUCUGUUCUUAUCAGUUUAAUAUCUGAUAUGUUCUCUAUUUGAGAGGUAAAGGUAAAGGUAGGUUUUCCCCUGACAUUAAGUCCAGUCAUGUCUGACUCUGGGGUGUGGUGCUCAUCUCAAUUUCUAAGCCAAAGAGCCAGCGUUGUCCGUA